AUUGAACGCUGGCGGCAUGCCUUACACAUGCAAGUCGAACGGCAGCACGGGAGCAAUCCUGGUGGCGAGUGGCGAACGGGUGAGUAAAGUAUCGGAACGUGCCCAGUCGUGGGGGAUAACGUAGCGAAAGUUACGCUAAUACCGCAUACGAUCUAUGGAUGAAAGCGGGGGAUCGCAAGACCUCGCGCGAUUGGAGCGGCCGAUAUCAGAUUAGGUAGUGGGUGGGGUAAAGGCUCACCAAGCCGACGAUCUGUAGCUGGUCUGAGAGGACGACCAGCCACCCUGGGACUGAGACACGGCCCAGACUCCUACGGGAGGCAGCAGUGGGGAAUUUUGGACAAUGGGCGAAAGCCUGAUCCAGCCAUGCCGCGUGCAGGAUGAAGGCCUUCGGGUUGUAAACUGCUUUUGUACGGAACGAAAAGGUUUGGCCUAAUAAGCUGAGCUCAUGACGGUACCGUAAGAAUAAGCACCGGCUAACUACGUGCCAGCCGCCGCUGUAA
rnacentral:rRNA from 1 species